ACUCCUACGGAAGGCAGCAGUGGGGAAUCUUGCGCAAUGGGCGAAAGCCUGACGCAGCGACGCCGCGUGGGUGAUGAAGGCCUUCGGGUUGUAAAGCUCUUUGGGUGGAGACGAAUAAGUCGUGGCUAACAUCCACGAUGAUGACGGUAUCCACAUAACAAGCACCGGCUAACUCUGUGCCAGCAGCCGCGGUAAU
rnacentral:rRNA from 1 species